GACAGAGGUGCCGAGCGUUUAGGCGGAAUCACUGGGCUUAAAGCGUGUGUAGGCGGACCGUUAAGUACCUUGUGAAAUCCCACGGCUCACCCGUGGAACGGCUGGGUAGACUGGCGGUCUUUGGGCCACCUAGGGGCAGAUGGAACAGACGGUGGAGCGGUGAAAUGCGUAGAUAUCGUCUGGAACGCCAAAGGUGAAAACAGUCUGCUGGGGGUGUGCCGACGCUGAGGCACGAAGGCCAGGGGAGCAAACGGG
rnacentral:rRNA from 1 species